AUUGAACGCUGGCGGCAUGCCUUACACAUGCAAGUCGAACGGUAACGCGGGGCAACCUGGCGACGAGUGGCGAACGGGUGAGUAAUGCAUCGGAACGUGCCCAGUAGUGGGGGAUAGCCCGGCGAAAGCCGGAUUAAUACCGCAUACGACCUAAGGGUGACAGGGGGGGAUCGCAAGACCUCUCGCUAUUGGAGCGGCCGAUGUCAGAUUAGGUAGUUGGUGGGGUAAAGACCUACCAAGCCGACGAUCUGUAGCUGGUCUGAGAGGACGACCAGCCACACUGGGACUGAGACACGGCCCAGACUCCUACGGGAGGCAGCAGUGGGGAAUUUUGGACAAUGGACGCAAGUCUGAUCCAGCCAUGCCGCGUGCGGGAAGAAGGCCUUCGGGUUGUAAACCGCUUUUGUCAGGGAAGAAAUCUUCUGGGUUAAUACCUCGGGAGGAUGACGGUACCUGAAGAAUAAGCACCGGCUAACUACGUGCCAGCCGCCGCAGUAACAC
rnacentral:rRNA from 1 species